rnacentral:rRNA from 1 species
GUAGGGGGCAAGCGUUGUCCGGAAUUAUUGGGCGUAAAGCGCGCGCAGGCGGUCUCUUAAGUCUGAUGUGAAAGCCCACGGCUCAACCGUGGAGGGUCAUUGGAAACUGGGGGACUUGAGUGUAGGAGAGGAAAGUGGAAUUCCACGUGUAGCGGUGAAAUGCGUAGAUAUGUGGAGGAACACCAGUGGCGAAGGCGACUUUCUGGCCUACAACUGACGCUGAGGUGCGAAAGCGUGGGGAGCAAACAGGGAUUAGAUACCCUGGUAGUCCACGCCGUAAACGAUGAGUGCUAGGUGUUAGGGGUUUCGAUGCCCUUAGUGCCGAAGUUAACACAUUAAGCACUCCGCCUGGGGAGUACGGCCGCAAGGCUG